rnacentral:rRNA from 1 species
GAUAAACGCUGGCGGCGUGCAUAACACAUGCAAGUCGAACGAUGAAGCUUAAAAGAUUUCUUCGGAAUGAACUUAAUUGGAUUAGUGGCGGACGGGUGAGUAACGCGUGAGUAACCUGCCUUGUACAAGGGGAUAGCCGUUGGAAACGACGAAUAAUACCCUAUGACAUCAAAUAAUCGCAUGAUAAUUUGAUCAAAGAUUUAUCGGUAUAAGAUGGACUCGCGUCUGAUUAGCUAGUUGGUAGAGUAAAAGCCUACCAAGGCAACGAUCAGUAGCCGGCUUGAGAGAGUGUACGGCCACAUUGGGACUGAGACACGGCCCAGACUCCUACGGGAGGCAGCAGUGGGGAAUUUUGCACAAUGGGGGAAACCCUGAUGCAGCGACGCCGCGUGAUUUAGAAGGCCUUCGGGUUGUAAAAAUCUUUUGUAUGGGAAGAAAAUGACAGUACCAUACGAAUAAGAACCGGCUAAUUACGUG